UUUGACGGAGAGUUUGAUCCUGGCUCAGGACGAACGCUGGCGGCGUGCUUAACACAUGCAAGUCGAACGAUGAUCUCCCGCUUGCGGGGGUGAUUAGUGGCGAACGGGUGAGUAAUACGUGAGUAACCUGCCCUUGACUCUGGGAUAAGCCUGG
rnacentral:rRNA from 1 species